AUAACGCCGAGAAGUCCUACUACAUCAUCACAGUGGCGAAGUUGAUCCGGUGGCCGGAGACGCACGUUCUUCUCUAUUAUACAGCUGCUCGGCACGGAAAUCGAGGAACCAUUAGAGAUGAGGAGAUUGGACUUCGGUGAUGAGGGGAGGCCGUCGAGUUUGAGAGGAGAUUUUAGGGGCUAGGGUUUGAAAUAAAUGGAGUGGGGGAACGGUGCUCUAGGAGCCUAAUCGGCACCUGGGUGCGAUGUUUUGGGCGGAGGAGCUUGAAGCCGACGACGGUUUGAGCUCAACACCCAAUUUUGUAUUUCGCGCGGUAUAUUUGCUUUGCUUAGUAGUUUCACAUGACAUACUAUAGCCCCAAACACUAUGACUGACAACCAAUAAUGAUAACACGAGAAGUACUUCGACGUAUAUACAUACGAUUUUCACAACACUAGUGUGUGAUGCUGACGAGACUCAGACUCGAUAACGCGAUUAGACUAGUGCCAUGUCAGCUGACCAGAGACAAGUUGUACGUACGCAAUGGUGAACGAUAAUAUGGGAAUGUCUGGCAUGUCUUCAGAGCAUGAUGAGUUCACAUGAAUGGAAGUGAAGAUAGGUCAAAUAGGUUGUGAAUGAUAGGAAUAGUGUGAUGGACGACUUGGGGAUGACAUGGGAAACCAAGGGGGUGAACUAUGUAAAUUGUUCUCGUAUUGAGACGCACCGAAACCAUGAAUACAUGCAUCGGAUUUUCUCUCACUCUUCUAUAGGUGGAGUUGUUGUUUCUGGGAUGGAUUUUUCCUAAAGAGUUUUAGACUUAUUUAUAGCAUCCGAGAAAUCACUAUUCAUAAUUUUUUUAAUAAUUUUUUUCUUCAAAACGGUGCCCAACUUUCGGUGAACGAUUUGAGUGGUGUGGCUCAUGCCCUUUUUCUCUUUCAAGAAUUUCGGCUGACAGAUUCACGAGAGGAGGUAGUGGUGGAGGUGGCGGAUUUGCCAGCAAGAGCGUUUCUGCUGUUCUUGCUUCAAGGAGGGAUAUCAUCCAUGAUUACUGUACAAAAUCCGGGCAUGUGCUGUGUGACUGUUGGAGGAGGCAGAGGUCACCGGGACUGCAUGACAGACUGUUGAACUAUGAAGAUCUUCACCAGACCAAUUUGGCAAAAUCAAGAGGCUCAUGAGCAGGCAAAUGCUACAACCAAUGCCAAUGGUGUAGAGGCGCUCUCGUACUAUGUUGAGAACAUUUUCAACACGGUAACUUGAUAGCGUUAUCAAAAUGAAGCCAGCCAUCCUAUAGCAAAUAUCCAACAUUUGCAACUGCUUCACGAGAAUUUAAUCAAGAACCUCCCAUCAGCAGCAUAAAGCAAUGCCUUUUAAAGCUAAGGAAAAAAGAAGCAGAAAAAAUAUCACUUGGCCCAGUUGUUCUAAGAUUGAGCUUUUGCCAACUUGCAUCGUUUUCUUGCUGACUUCAAUUUGUGGGUUUAUAAGAUUCACAUGUAGCAAAAAUUUUGGGGGAAAUGAUGCAAUGUCCUUUACAGCUCUCGAUCGCCAGCCUGGAGACUGGAUGGCUUCAUUAAGGAACCAAGUGGAUACUUAAAGUACAGAUUCACACAGAACCAAUGCUCAUAUAAAAGGUGGUGAUGUAGACAUCAAAAUAUGGAUGACAAAAGCCUUGCCCAAUUCUUCAACAUGUUCGAUGACAAGGUCCAAUCUUGCAACCAUUUCCACUAGCAAAGAAGCAAAGGCUGCAAAGGGCAGAGCCUCCGAG